rnacentral:rRNA from 1 species
ACGCUUGAAGUCAGUCGCGUCAUCCAGGGAUCAACCUUGCUUUUGCUUGGUGCACUUUCUGGUUUGAUGGGUCAGCAUCAAUUUUGACCAUUGGAAAAAGGUCAAGGGAAUGUGGCAUCUUUGGAUGUGUUAUAGCCCUUGGUCACAUACAAUGGUUGGGAUUGAGGAACUCAGCACGCCGCAAGGCCGGGUUUUAAACCACGUUCGUGCUUAGGAUGCUGGCAAUAUGGCUUUAAUCGACCCGUCUUGAAACACGGACCAAGGAGUC